AAUAAGAAGCAAAAAAUUGCCUUUAGUUUCGACCUAAAAAUUUGAUGUUCACUCAUCCUUAUUU
rnacentral:tRNA from 1 species